AACGAACGCUGGCGGCAGGCUUAACACAUGCAAGUCGAGCGCCCCGCAAGGGGAGCGGCAGACGGGUGAGUAACGCGUGGGAAUCUACCCAUCUCUACGGAAUAACGCAUGGAAACGUGUGCUAAUACCGUAUACGUCCUUCGGGAGAAAGAUUUAUCGGAGAUGGAUGAGCCCGCGUUGGAUUAGCUAGUUGGUGGGGUAAAGGCCUACCAAGGCGACGAUCCAUAGCUGGUAUGAGAGGAUGAUCAGCCACACUGGGACUGAGACACGGCCCAGACUCCUACGGGAGGCAGCAGUGGGGAAUAUUGGACAAUGGGCGCAAGCCUGAUCCAGCCAUGCCGCGUGAGUGAUGAAGGCCCUAGGGUUGUAAGGCUCUUUCACCGGUGAAGAUAAUGACGGUAACCGGAGAAGAAGCCCCGGCUAACUUCGUGCCAGCAGCCGCCGUAACAC
rnacentral:rRNA from 1 species